rnacentral:rRNA from 1 species
UAGGGAAUCUUCGGCAAUGGACGAAAGUCUGACCGAGCAACGCCGCGUGAGUGAAGAAGGUUUUCGGAUCGCAAAACUCUGUUGUUAGAGAAGAACAAGGACGUUAGUAACUGAACGUCCCCUGACGGUAUCUAACCAGAAAGCCACGGCUAACUACGUGCCAGCAGCCGCGGUAAUACGUAGGUGGCAAGCGUUGUCCGGAUUUAUUGGGCGUAAAGCGAGCGCAGGCGGUUUCUUAAGUCUGAUGUGAAAGCCCCCGGCUCAACCGGGGAGGGUCAUUGGAAACUGGGAGACUUGAGUGCAGAAGAGGAGAGUGGAAUUCCAUGUGUAGCGGUGAAAUGCGUAGAUAUAUGGAGGAACACCAGUGGCGAAGGCGGCUCUCUGGUCUGUAACUGACGCUGAGGCUCGAAAGCGUGGGGAGCAAACA